rnacentral:snRNA from 1 species
UUAUUUACAUAUACUAAAAUUGGAACGAUACAGAGAAGAUUAGCAUGGCCCCUGCACAAGGAUGACAUGCAAAUUCGUGAAGCAUUCCAUAUUUUA